rnacentral:rRNA from 1 species
AUUGAACGCUGGCGGCAUGCCUAACACAUGCAAGUCGAGCGGGGUUUUCGGACCUAGCGGCGGACGGGUGAGUAAUGCGUAGGAAGCUGCCCGAUAGAGGGGGAUACCAGUUGGAAACGACUGUUAAUACCGCAUAAUGUCUACGGACCAAAGUGUGGGACCUUCGGGCCACAUGCUAUCGGAUGCGCCUACGUGGGAUUAGCUAGUUGGUGAGGUAAUGGCUCACCAAGGCGACGAUCUCUAGCUGGUUUGAGAGGAUGAUCAGCCACACUGGAAAUGAGACGAGGUCCAGACUCCUGCGGGAGGCAGCAGUGGGGAAUAUUGGACAAUGGGCGCAAGCCUGAUCCAGCCAUGCCGCGUGUGUGAAGAAGGCCUUCGGGUUGUAAAGCACUUUCAGCGAGGAGGAAGGGUGGUGUGUUAAUAGCACAUCAUUUUGACGUUACUCGCAGAAGAAGCACCGGCUAACUCUGUGCCAGCAGCCGCGGUAAAAC